rnacentral:lncRNA from 1 species
CCCACCUCCAAAUCCAUCAAUUCAAGCACAGUUGACCACAGUUGACUUUUCUGACUAAUAGAUGAAUCUGGCUAUGCACUGAUCAAGUUGAGCCUCAAACUCCUGAUGAAAUGGCUCAAUGAUGAAACCCUAGCUUCCAUAAGCUCAAUAUAAUCACAUGAUGAUCCCCAUAUCCAUUGUAGACCCCAUCUCCAUGCCAUGCCCUGAUUGGCCUAAUGCAGAUGAUUCAACUGAUUAGGGUUGACCAGUGGUCAAAACCCUAAUCUCAAGGUAUCUGAUCAAUCUUCUUGAAUCUCUUGG